GUGAUUGGAACUUGGAAUUUGGACUCUAAUUCAUGCUUAGUGUGUUCGAUUGGGAACUCCCCUGAUAUCUUUCCUUAGUUGUUCUUCCCCUACAAUCCAAUCCUCCAUCCACAACCCCUCUUCCAUCAUCACAAAAAAGGAAUACGAAUUGCAGGAAUAGGAACACUACUCUUCGAUGUCGACGAUAAUAAGAACAACAAGUUGAUGAAACCCUAAGCCCAAACGCGUUCUUGAGCGCAAUCCCAUAGGUCAUCCGCCUAUUUUGCCAUGGCGAUCAUUUUCUCGAAAUCUUAUAUUGGAGGAAUUGUUGUGGUGUAGAAAUGGUGACAACCUCCUUUUCUCUUCAAGAACCCUUUGAACAUGUGGGGGAAAACUUCAAAAUUAAUGGAAGCUUGAAUUCAAUUGCUACACCAAUGUUCAUGAUGAAGCCAAUACACUACAAAACAUUCCCCACCCAUUCUCACUUUCCCUCUUCCGUAUUUUUCAUCUUGAUUGAACAUUUGUACUCUUUUUAUAGCCAGGGUGAGGUCUAAUCAUAAAUGGUUUAUUUCUAUUUUUGUUCUUAUUCUACAAAUGUCUAGGACAUUAAGCCUCUUCUACAU